UAUUUAUGAUGAUUGCAAACGUGUUCUUAUUAUUUGAAACUUAACUACAAGUUUUAAUUACUAAAGAUAUUUUCUCCAUAUUGAUUUACUACAUUUCAGUCUUGUCAUUGUACUCAACAAAAUCCACAAACACAGAACCCCUAAGCGAAUGUAGUCUUAUCAACGCAUAUGAAAAUUGUUAUCACUCAGACUGAGCUCUCUACUUAUUUCAUAGACUCAUGAAUGUGUUUUUCUUAAUACUCAGGUUUUAUUGAUUAUAUAUUUCACUUGCUUUUCAGGCUCUAAGGACGUACAUGCUUCCUACAAGGUAAUUCAUGUUCUAUGUUUAUGUGAUAUUAUUAACAGUAUGCUGGGUGUACUGUGAAAUACUUACAUAAUAUCUUCUCUCCGUGCACAUCAAGCCGACCACCAAAAGCAAAGAUACAGAUCCCAAAAAACCAAAACGGAACAAUGGCACAAAAACACUGGAAUCAGAGUCACAUGAGAAUAUGUCAUCAUCACGAGAGAAGGAAAGGCUUGAUGGCACGGAAAAGAGCAAUCAGCAGAACGUCCACAGCAGCAACACACCUCUUCCUGAUGAGAGCCUUCAGCACAUGCCUGUCACUCACUAUCCUCAGCCCAUAUGAUGAGUAACCAUCUAAAAUUCUGGAAGGAUACCUGGCUACUGCAUCAUGGAGGUGUAAGGGAUGCAGUGGUUCCUGAUGAGACACCACUGAGAGUCCAUGUCUUCAGGGCAAUAUUGUAAUUCUUAAGAGGGUGACUUUAACUUCCUGUGUGAUGUUAAUGGGGAGUGUCUGUGAGAAACCUCCAGAGGUUUGGGCUUCUAGAAUAUCUGGUGGGUUCCAUUCACGAGCAAAGAAUAGAAUAAAUGGACAUAGAGAAGAUACAGGACAUGUAUCUUUGCACAAGGGUGAAAAAGAAAACAUUCUAUUGCCUAAAACAAAGGAAGCAGGAUUAGAAGAUGUGCCAGGGUCCCAGACGGGCUCUAAGGACGUACAUGCUUCCUACAAGCCGACCAUCAAAAGCAAAGAUACAGAUCCCCCAAAACCAAAAUGGAAGAAUGGAACAAAAAUACUGGAAUCAGGUAACUGUUGCAGUACAGCUUCCAAGAAACUGCCUAUGUUUAAACCUUGGAAAUGAUAGCAAUCUUCUAACUCCUGAUAUAUCCAUUUUCUGACAUGUGUUGGUUGGAGUUGCCCCA
ensembl:lncRNA